AUUGAACGCUGGCGGCAGGCCUAACACAUGCAAGUCGAGCGGAGCGGCGGACGGGUGAGUAAUGCCUAGGAAUCUGCCUGGUACUGGGGGAUAACGUCCGGAAACGGGCGCUAAUACCGCAUCCUAUCAGAUGAGCCUAGGUCGGAUUGGCUCGUUGGUGGGGUAAAGGCCUACAAAGGGGACGAUCCGUAACUGGUCUGAGAGGAUGAUCAGUCACACUGGAACUGAGACACGGUCCAGAGUCCUACGGGAGGCAGCAGUGGGGAAGUUUGGACAAUGGGCGAAAGCCUGAUCCAGCCAUGCCGCGUGGGUGAAGAGGGUCUUCGGAUUGUAAAGCACUUUAAGUUGGGAGGCGUUACCAACAGAAUAAGCACCGGCUAACUACGUGCCAGCCGCCGCGGUAAUAC
rnacentral:rRNA from 1 species